rnacentral:lncRNA from 1 species
GAAAACAUGAAGACUCUCUUCUACUCCAAAAUAACAUCGUGGACAGCGGGCAGUUGAAUUAACCCUCCUCAACCUGAGAUUACCAAAGUGAGGGAUAUAAUCCCAUGAAAUCCUCCAGAUUGUAAUUGCAAUUUUUGAAGGCAAUUGUAGGCUCCAUAAUUUUUUGUAAAAAUUUCUUAUUUCGGUCUGUAAUAGGUAGUCAUUAGCUGUAGAAGCAUCUUGUAGUAGUUUAUACGCACUACGUACUGAAAACUCACCAGAUAGUUCUCCACUCCACACCUGAAUAUCCUCAUGUUCGGUCUCUGCCAGAGGAAUUUGUAGAAUCUUCCGAGCAGUAUCUUCUUGAAAGGUACUUUUAAUUAAGUCUGACUUCCAUUUUCUACUUGAAUUGUCAAUGAGGUCUGAAACUAACUGUAAUUCUCUUCUGUUUGUGCUAUUAAGCUCAGCCACCUUGUCAAUCCCCUGAAUCCAGUUGUCUUCCCAGAUAGAAAUGCUACUCCCUUUACCAACUCUCCAACCCAAUCCUCUUUGGAGAAGUCCUUUUGCCGCCCAGAUGCUCUUCCAGGUAAAUGAAGGUAAAUUCCCCAACUCUGCGUUUAAAAAACUGGACUGUGGAAAAUAUUUAGCCUUCAAAACUCUGGCUAAUAAAGAAUUUGGGAAAUUAAUGAGACGCCAACCUUGUUUAGCUAAUAACGCAAUAUUAAAUUGACUAAGAUCUCGAAAGCCUAGACCAUCAUUUUCUUUUAACGAACAAAGGUUUUUCCAAGUGCACCAAUGAAUUCCCCUUUUGCCCCCUCCUUUUUGCCACCAGAAUCUUGCUAUAAUACUCUCCAUUUCAUCACAAAGAGCUCUCGGCAGUAAGAAACAUGCCAUAGAAUAAGUCGGAAUAGCUUGCAAAAUGGCCUUUAUAAAAAUUUCUUUCCCUCAUUGUGAUAAAAAUCUGUUGCUCCAGUUAUCAAUACGUUUUUUGAUUCGAUCCUUUAAACUCUGAAAAGCUUCUUUUUUCUUUCGCCCCACCAUAUUCGGUAGCCCUAGAUAUCGUUCAGGUUCACUAGUCCUACGUACCCCCAACACAUCAACCACUUGUCUCCUAUCCUCCUCCAACGUGUUUUUACUAAAGAAUACCGUUGAUUUAUCAAAAUUUACACAUUGUCCCGAGCAAACUUUGAAUUCACACAAAAUAUCCUUUAUGAUGUUUGCACCCCUGCUAGUUGCCUCUCCAAACAGUAUGCAGUCAUCAGCAAAUAAAAGAUGAGAUACCUGUGGACCGUAUCUACUCACCCGUACUCCUUUGAGACGAUCUCUCUUCAUUGCUAACCUCAGCAAGCUCGAUAAACCUUCACCACAUAUCAGGAAUAAAAACGGGCUUAAUGGGUCCCCUUGUCUAAGUCCUCUGGUUGGUACAAAUUUAUCUCCUCUGUACCCAUUUAUGACAACUGAAUAAGCAACAGAUGACACACAUUUCAUAAUGGCAUUUACCCAACUAAAAUCAAACCCCAUCUUUUUCAUGACCUCCUCUAUAAGUUUCCAUUCUACCCUGUCAUAAGCUUGCUCAUAUCGAGUUUAACGGCCAUAAAUCUUUUUUUCCCCGUUCUCUUUUGCUUUAACUUGUGCAAUAUUUCGUAAGUGAGUAAUACAUUAUCUGAUAUUAACCUGCCUGGCACAAAAGCACUUUGCGCUUCAUCAAUACAUUUGCCAAUAACACUUCGAAAUCUGUUUGCAAGUACCUUUGCAAUAAUUUUGUAAAGUACAUUGCAUAGACUAAUUGGCCUAAAUUGCAUCAUAGUUGAUGGAUUGCUGACUUUGGGAAUAAGCACUAUAUUUGUGGAAUUUAUUGGACUAAUCUCCAUAUUUCCGUUUAAAAUUUGUAGACAAAAAGAUAGGACGUCAUCCCCAACAAUCUGCCAACACUUCUGAUAGAAUAAUGCUGGAAAUCCAUCCUCCCCUGGUGCUUUUGUAGGUCCCAUUUCAAAAACAGCUUCUCUAAUUUCCUCUCUGGAAUAUGGUUCUGUAAGUUUUCGGUUGUCAUCCGCAUGAAUGCAGCGUUCUAUCCCUGAUAGAAUAUGAUCAUAAUUCCCAUUCUCUCUUACCGAAAAUAAAUUCUGAAAAUAAGACUUAGCCACACCCUCAAUGUCUUGAAUGAGCUCCAUUUCUCUACCCUCUUCAUCUUUCAGCUUAUGAAUGAGAUUCUUUUUUCUCCGUUGUGAAGUUUGGCUAUGAAAGAAAGCAGUAUUUUUGUCCCCUAAUUUCAACCAGUUAAUUCUAGCUCUCUGUUCCCAAUAGCAUUCGUCCUUCUCAAUCUCAAAAUUCAAGUUUAUUUUUGUAUCAAUCAAUUCAGCUAAGGUCUCUUCAUUUCUGGUUGCUUCAGCUAACUCGCCAAGUUUCUUCGUAAGCAUCUGUUUUGUCUUCUGCCUAUUUUUUUAACUGCCCAGCCCAAAUCUGCAAUCCUUUCUUUAAAUUAUCCAGCCUCUUUAAUAUUUCCUCUGACGAAUUCUCCCAUAGUUUUUUGACUUCUUCCAUGAAAGAUUCUUCCAACAGCCACCAUGCUUCAAAUCUGAAAUUGUUAUCCCUUACUCGUUCUGCAAAUCUCCUGGUAUUAAUAAGAAGAGGACAAUGGUCUGAAAAUGAAUGAGCAAGAUGUUGAACUUUAAUUUCUGGAAACAUAACAAUCCAAUUUGUGUUAGCUACUCCUCUGUCCAAACGUUCUUGGAUGUUCGUCUCUGGUAAGUUGCCUCUCUCCCAAGUAAAACGCCUGCCCUCAAAACCCACAUCAUUCAAUCGGCAUUCCUCUAAUGUUUUCCUAAAAAUUUCCAUCAUUCUUUCAUCCCUAGGUAACCCUCCUUUUUUUUCAAAUCCAUACAUAAUUUCAUUGAAGUCUCCGCAAACCAACCAAGGGGUUUCUCUAUCAUUAGCUAAACUUUUCAAAACCUCCCACGAAUCAUUCCUAUCCUGUAUGUAUGGGGAACCAUAAAAUCCUGUAAAUCUCCAAUUAAUUCCUUUUUCCUUAUCUUCAACGAUCACAUCAAUAUGUCUUUUAGAGUAACUACGAAGCAUAACUUCAAUGUCAGUUCGCCAAGCUAAGCACAACCCUCCUCUCGUACCUUCAGAUUCUACUUCGAUUCCAUUUGCGAAACCACACCUCCUGCGAGUAAUUUCCAUUUGUUUCUUAUUAAUUUUAGUCUCCAUAAAGAAGACUAUUUGGGGAUUAUUAAUUUUCAGCAAAUGCCGAAGUCUUCUAACCGUCCGUUGUCUCCCCAAACCACGGACGUUCCAGCUUAAGAUUUUCAUUGUGCCCGGUCGGCAUGCCUUUUGGCAGCCGCCGAUAUUAGAGAAUGUACGCCUUCCAUCUCCCCUCUAUUUCUCUUUUUUCCUUCCUCCCCUAUUAAAGUUUCAUCUUCCAAAUCAUGCUCCAUAGCCAUUUGCAUCUGAUAAGACCAGAUUUUAUUUCUCUGUUGUUCUUCAUGUGUUGCCCUCCCCUCAAGGCUAAUCCCUAAUAUUGGAUCAAUAGCUUUGCCCCUCUUUCCUUUUGAAGCCUCAUUCUGCUCGUUUAACCCGUCAAACCUACUCUCCAUCCAGCAUUCUCCAAGUUUCCCUUCCCCCUCCUCUCGCAGCCAAAUGCUAUUCAUUGAUAGAGCUCUUCGAGAUGGUGCCCGUAAUGUUAAAUCCCAUCCCAUUUCAGCAAUCUCCCCUCCAACCCUCAUUCUCUCUUCACAGAAAGAGUCAUUAUGACCUAAACGUCCACAGAAAAAACAAAACAGCGAUAGACGCUCAUACUUAAAUUUAACAUAUGAGUAUAUCCCACCAAACAUAAUCUGUUUCUUUCUUUUCAAAGGUUUCCUAAUAUCAAUCUGCACUCUUAUUCUCAUAAAAUUAUGAGUCUCCUUUCCCAACUUAGAUACAUCGUACUCCAUGAAAACUCCAAUAAAAUUGCCCAGCUGUGUUGCUAGGCUUUCAGUAAAUAAACCUAUUGGGACAUCAUGAAUUUGUACCCAAAAAGGACUAAAAAUUAGUGGUACCGUCAAUGGAUUUUCUCCCCUUCUCAGUUUGCAGAGUAUUAAUAAAUGAUUAUUAAAAGUCCACGGUAAACUCUUCAGAACUCUUUCCAAAUCCAUACUGUGAAAAAAUUUAAAAAGGUACCUUUUUUCUCCCAGAUCUCGAAUUUGUACCCCACAGACAGGGUGCCACAAAUUUGCCAUGGUGCUUUUCAUAGCUGGAAAGUGAAUUAUGCUUGCUGUUAGAAAACAACCUACAAGCUGAAAAUCUUCACGUUCUUUUUGCAUGCAUGGAUCAGUCUGGAUCUGUAAAAUUUCCUCUUCUUCUUCAUUGAGCGACAAUUGUGCUAAUUCUGUUUCCAUGAUUGCAGGAAUUGAUGUUCAGAAAAACUCUCCCGUCCUCCCUAUCGUCUGAGCAAAAUUGUAUUCAAGCCGAUUUCAAGAAAAAAGAACAAAAGCAAUCUACGAAA